GUCUCUGUAGCUUAUAAAAAGCAUGACACUGAAGAUGUCAAGAUGGUAGCUACACGCACCCAGAGACA
rnacentral:tRNA from 1 species